rnacentral:rRNA from 1 species
AGAACGAACGCUGGCGGCAUGCCUAACACAUGCAAGUCGAACGAGACCCCGACUUCGGUCGGACGUCUAGUGGCGCACGGGUGCGUAACGCGUGGGAAUCUGCCCUUGGGUUCGGGAUAACAGUUGGAACGACUGCUAAUACCGGAUGAUGACUUCGGUCCAAAGAUUUAUCGCCCAGGGAUGAGCCCGCGUAGGAUUAGCUUGUUGGUGAGGUAAAGGCUCACCAAGGCGACGAUCCUUAGCUGGUCUGAGAGGAUGAUCAGCCACACGUGGGACUGAGACACGGCCCAGACUCUACGGGAGGCAGCAGUGGGGAAUAGUUGGACAAGUGGGACGAAAGGCCUGAUCCAGCAAUGCGCGUGAGUGAUGAAGGUCCUUAGGGUUAGUAAGGCUUACCGUUUACCCGGA